rnacentral:rRNA from 1 species
UACAGAGGUCUCAAGCGUUGUUCGGAUUCAUUGGACGUAAAGGGUGCGUAGGCGGCGCGGUAAGUCGGGUGUGAAAUUUCGAGGCUUAACUUCGAAACUGCACUCGAUACUGCCGUGCUAGAGGACUGGAGAGGAGACUGGAAUUUACGGUGUAGCGGUGAAAUGCGUAGAUAUCGUAAGGAAGACCAGUGGCGAAGGCGGGUCUCUGGACAGUUCCUGACGCUGAGGCACGAAGGCCAGGGGAGCAAACAGG